GCCCAGUAUGGUAUAGUGGUUUGAGCAUUGGACUAUGACUCUGGAGAUCAGGGUUCAAAUCCCUGCUUGGGUA